AAGCAUAAGAAAAGUUAAGGAGCAUUUACAAGUUGUUGUCCUCAAAAACUUUUAAUUUGUAAAUUCCUUUUGAAGUUUUUCACAAGUAAUGUUGCAGAAGAUCCAUGUAUGAGCUCUGAUACCACUCUGUGGCAGAACCACCUAAAUUAUAUGGCCCACAUGCACCUAUCAUUGUCAUUAAGACCUCCGAUUACUGCACAUGAGAGUCAUAUAACCCAGGUAGUCUGUCGGGUGCCCUUAGAGGACCCCGAAUCAUCCACAUUUUAACUCAUACAGGAUCAACAUGGAGUUACCACAACAUUACAUCAUUUGUUACAAAAAUAACUUACAUCGGAGUGCGGAAGAUUUAUAACUCAAUUUACAACAUAUGAUGGAAUAUAAACAACUAAAUUUCCAAAAGGUGUGCGGAGUAGCGGAAGCAUCUUAGGUGAAGCUUCUAAGGUAGAAGAGGUGGAUAAAUCAUGUCGCGCCCACCGACAUGACCUCCAUUAGCAGCAUAAGUCAGCACCUGCAACAGGGGUUAUAAAACCCUGAGUAUGGGAGUACUCAACAAGACUUACCCGGCAGAAAAAGAGGAGAACUUAGGAAUGCAGGCUUGGGGUAGACAAGGAGUGGCUGAGCAAGGAGCCAAAUUGUUUUGCCAAAAAGCUUACUAAUAGUGCAUCCUUACUUUCAAGUUUUACCCACGAAUUCCUCUCCUUAAGAGGUCGAGGAGUUCGAGGACAGUCUAUCUAGUUGCUUCUCACAGACAAGUCUGUAAGUUCCUCGUCCUUAAUCAAAGUAUUAUCUAUCCAACGGCCAAAGCUUCAUGUCACUCUGAGUCCGGGAAUUGGGAUCCGAACCUCAUAAGACAUUUUCCCCCUUUCUCAUUUUAUCACUUAGUUGCAUAUUUAACUACGAUGAGGGUCGAAGGAAUUGAGUCUCCCAAUCGGGGAGCAACGAUGAUUGAAUCGCUUAGCAAUCCAGCUGGAGUUCCUAACCACCCGACAUAUGUAGAACCAAAUCUUGCAUAUAUCAACCCGAAUCAAGCUCUCCCCAAAUUUGACCAGGUUCGCGGCACCCGAGAGCACAGUACUCCACCAUCCUACAGCCGAUCUAGAUGUUUUCCGGUCAUCUCAGAUCCGUAAGGUGGGCACACGUUACUCUCGCCAUCUUUCCACUCCCAGUGCGCGAGUAGCUGUUCGCGUCGAGGGAUUACAAGAUCGGGCUUACCGAGGGCAAGUGGCUAGUACUAUAAAUUCUCAACCCAGCAGGCCAUCAACGGAACGGUCCUUAAUCAACACAGUCGGAGACACUACUUUAAGACUCCAUUCUUAGAGCAAGUCCACCGACCGGUCUCAAAUUGAAACAUCACUGAUCGUAAGUGUAUCCCACAACAACCCUUCAAACUUUCUUGUUUAAAAACCUAUCUAGUAGCAGGGCUAAGCAUCGCUACGCAGUUUUAAAAUAAAACAGGUGUCAAGGACAGGAUACAGAUAUCAAGGUAGUAAAUGCAGCAAGUAGGUUAACCCAAUUCUCAACUACCUAAUGCAGCAUUUUCAAUUCAUAAGUGACAAAAGGUUUAAAACAUCCAAGGAGGGGUUAAUGCAUCCGGGGCUUGCCUUGGUUGCAGGGCAGAGAGGGACCCUCGGAGACUUCCCAAGUCUCGGAUCCGACUUCCUCGAACGGAGCACCGACCUCGGGGUUCGGUUCAACGGGCGCUCCUUCGGUCACGGACACU
rnacentral:lncRNA from 1 species